rnacentral:antisense_RNA from 1 species
CUUCAGGGAUCCCAGCCACAGCGGGUGGUCCGCCGGCCUGUCCUGGCCGUAGGUGGCCAGGAGGGCGUGCGCCUC